AGAGUUUGAUCCUGGCUCAGGACGAACGCUGGCGGCGUGCUUAACACAUGCAAGUCGAACGGAAAGGUCUCUUCGGAGAUACUCGAGUGGCGAACGGGUGAGUAACACGUGGGUGAUCUGCCCUGCACUUCGGGAUAAGCCUGGGAAACUGGGUCUAAUACCGGAUAGGACCACGGGAUGCAUGUCUUGUGGUGGAAAGCGCUUUAGCGGUGUGGGAUGAGCCCGCGGCCUAUCAGCUUGUUGGUGGGGUGACGGCCUACCAAGGCGACGACGGGUAGCCGGCCUGAGAGGGUGUCCGGCCACACUGGGACUGAGAUACGGCCCAGACUCCUACGGGAGGCAGCAGUGGGGAAUAUUGCACAAUGGGCGCAAGCCUGAUGCAGCGACGCCGCGUGGGGGAUGACGGCCUCGGGUUGUAAACCUCUUUCACCAUCGACGAAGGUCCGGGUUCUCUCGGAUUGACGGUAGGUGGAGAAGAAGCACCGGCCAACUACGUGCCAGCAGCCGCGGUAAUACGUAGGGUGCGAGCGUUGUCCGGAAUUACUGGGCGUAAAGAGCUCGUAGGUGGUUUGUCGCGUUGUUCGUGAAAUCUCACGGCUUAACUGUGAGCGUGCGGGCGAUACGGGCAGACUAGAGUACUGCAGGGGAGACUGGAAUUCCUGGUGUAGCGGUGGAAUGCGCAGAUAUCAGGAGGAACACCGGUGGCGAAGGCGGGUCUCUGGGCAGUAACUGACGCUGAGGAGCGAAAGCGUGGGGAGCGAACAGGAUUAGAUACCCUGGUAGUCCACGCCGUAAACGGUGGGUACUAGGUGUGGGUUUCCUUCCUUGGGAUCCGUGCCGUAGCUAACGCAUUAAGUACCCCGCCUGGGGAGUACGGCCGCAAGGCUAAAACUCAAAGGAAUUGACGGGGGCCCGCACAAGCGGCGGAGCAUGUGGAUUAAUUCGAUGCAACGCGAAGAACCUUACCUGGGUUUGACAUGCACAGGACGCGUCUAGAGAUAGGCGUUCCCUUGUGGCCUGUGUGCAGGUGGUGCAUGGCUGUCGUCAGCUCGUGUCGUGAGAUGUUGGGUUAAGUCCCGCAACGAGCGCAACCCUUGUCUCAUGUUGCCAGCACGUAAUGGUGGGGGACUCGUGAGAGACUGCCGGGGUCAACUCGGAGGAAGGUGGGGAUGACGUCAAGUCAUCAUGCCCCUUAUGUCCAGGGCUUCACACAUGCUACAAUGGCCGGUACAAAGGGCUGCGAUGCCGCGAGGUUAAGCGAAUCCUUAAAAGCCGGUCUCAGUUCGGAUCGGGGUCUGCAACUCGACCCCGUGAAGUCGGAGUCGCUAGUAAUCGCAGAUCAGCAACGCUGCGGUGAAUACGUUCCCGGGCCUUGUACACACCGCCCGUCACGUCAUGAAAGUCGGUAACACCCGAAGCCAGUGGCCUAACCCUCGGGAGGGAGCUGUCGAAGGUGGGAUCGGCGAUUGGGACGAAGUCGUAACAAGGUAGCCGUACCGGAAGGUGCGGCUG
rnacentral:rRNA from 1 species